rnacentral:rRNA from 1 species
UGACGAAUAAGCAUCGGCUAACUCCGUGCCAGCAGCCGCGGUAAUACGGGGGAUGCGAGCGUUAUCCGGAUUUAUUGGGUUUAAAGGGCGCGUAGGCGGGACGUCAAGUCAGCGGUAAAAGACUGCAGCUAAACUGUAGCACGCCGUUGAAACUGGCGCCCUGGAGACGAGACGAGGGAGGCGGAACAAGUGAAGUAGCGGUGAAAUGCAUAGAUAUCACUUGGAACCCCGAUAGCGAAGGCAGCUUCCCAGGCUCGUUCUGACGCUGAUGCGCGAGAGCGUGGGUAGCGAACAGGAUUAGAUACCCUGGUAGUCCACGCCGUAAACGAUGCUCACUGGAUCUUGGCGAUACACAGCCAGGGUUCAAGCGAAAGUAUUAAGUGAGCCACCUGGGGAGUACGUCGGCAACGAUGAAACUCAAAGGAAUUGACGGGGGCCCGCACAAGCGGAGGAACAUGUGGUUUAAUUCGAUGAUACGCGAGGAACCUUACCCGGGUUUAAAUGUAGAUUGCAUGAGGUGGAAACACUUCUUCCCUUCGGGGCUAUUUACAAGGUGCUGCAUGGUUGUCGUCAGCUCGUGCCGUGAGGUGUCGGGUUAAGUCCCAUAACGAGCGCAACCCCUAUCGCCAGUUGCCAUCGGUUGAAGCCGGGCACUCUGUCGAGACUGCCACCGUAAGGUGCGAGGAAGGCGGGGAUGACGUCAAAUCAGCACGGCCCUUACACCCGGGGCGACACACGUGUUACAAUGGCCGGUACAGAGGGCAGCCACGGGGUGACCCGGAGCGAAUCUCUAAAGCCGGUCGUAGUUCGGACUGGAGUCUGCAACCCGACUCCACGAAGUUGGAUUCGCUAGUAAUCGCGCAUCAGCCAUGGCGCGGUGAAUACGUUCCCGGGCCUUGUACACACCGCCCGUCAAGCCAUGGAAGCCGGGAGUACCUGAAGAUCGUGACCGCGAGGAACGGGCUAGGGUAAUACCGGUAACUGGGGCUAAGUCGUAACAAGGUAGCCGUACCGGAAGGUGCGGCUGGAACACCUCCUUUCUGGAGC